rnacentral:rRNA from 1 species
CAUACGUGGCGGCGGCAUACCAUGCAAGUCGAGCGGUAACGGACUAACCUGCUAGUUGCGGACAAGCCGCGGACGGGUGAGUAACACGCUGGUAAUCUGCCUGGUACUGGGGGAGAACGUCUGAAACCAGGGCAAAUACCGCAUACUCUCUUCCGGGGAGAGUAGGGGAUCUUCGGACCUUACACUAUCUUAUGAACCCGCGUCGGAUUAUGCUUGUUGGAGAGGUAAUGGCUCACCUAAGCUAUCAUCCAUAGCUGGUCUGAGAGGAUGAUUUGCCACACUGGCAGUGACACCUAGCCCAUACUCCUUCUGGAGGCAGCUUUGGGGAAUAUUGGACAAUGGGGGCAACCCUGAUCGAGCCAUGCAGCCUGUGUGAAGAAAGCCUUCCGGUUGUAAAGCACUUUCCUAUGUGAGGAAAGGUAUGUGGUUAAUACCCGCAUACUGUGACGUUAACAUCAGAAGAAGCACCGGCUAACUCCGUGCCAGCAGCCGCGGUAAUACGGAGGGUGCAAGCGUUAAUCGGAAUUACUGGGCGUAAAGCGCGCGUAGGUGGUUGGGUAAGUCAGAUGUGAAAGCCCCGGGCUCAACCUGGGAAUUGCUUCUGAUACUGCUGGACUAGAGUACAGUAGAGGGCAGUGGAAUUUCCGGUGUAGCGGGGAAAAGGGUUAAUUUCGGGAAGAACCCCAGUGGGGGAAGGGGACGUCCGGGAUUGAUACUGACACUGAGGUGCGAAAGCGUGAGUAGCAAUCAGGAUUAGAUACCCUGGUAGUUCACGCCGUAAAGGAUUUCAACUAGCCGUUGGGGGACUUGAUCCUUUAGUGGCCGCAGCUAACGCCGAUAAAGUUGACCCGCCUGGGGGAGUACGGGCCGUCAAGGUUAUAAACUCCAAAUGAAUUGAUCGGGGGCCGCGCACAACUAGGAGGAGCAUCUGGUGUAAUUUGAAGCAACGCGAAGAGCAUUACAUACUCUUGACAUCCCGAGAACUUUCCAGAGACGGAUAGGUGCCUUCGGGAAAUCUGAGACCGGUGAUGCAUGGCUGUAGUCAGCUCGUGCUGUGAAAUGUUGGGUUAAGUCCCGUAACGAGCGCAACCCCUAUCAUUAUCUGCCAGCACUUCGGGUGGGAACUAUUAGGAGACUGCCGGUGACAAACCGGAGGAAGGUGGGGAUGACGUCAAGUUAUCAUGGGCCUUACGAGCAGGGCUACACAAGGGCUACAAUGGCCGGUACAGAGGGCCGCGUACUCUCGAGGGUAAGCUAAUCUUUGAAAUCCGGUCUAGUCCGUAGUUCAGUUGAUCUGGUGA